AUCUGCGAGUGCAGGCAAACAGAGGCUGGUUAUUGUAAGGAGAGCUGCUGAGAUGACACAUGUAUGCACUCUCCUACAGCGUGAACUACUCCUCGCUGCAGAGACAUUUGGGAAAACUAUAGUGACAGUCUCCUUUGCACCUCAAUGGCUCACAUGACUCAACUCUGGCUAAUAACAUCUGGGCCUUAGUCAAAUGCCUUUUUAAGGCUUUGCUCCCAACCUCACUGUGUUCCUGCAGACUUUCUACUGUUCCUUGUAACAGCAGAUGCAAAGAAUAUACGGUGAUUUCAAUAUGCUUGGCCCAUGAUGUAGAACUGUUGGCUCCUCUAGCACCGAGUCUGCUUGGAUGAUUCCAUGCUUUCUGCCAUGAUGAUAAUGGACUGAACCCCUGAAACUAACUGUAAGUCAGCUCCAAUUAAAUGUCCUUCUUAAGAGCUGCCUUGCUCAUGGUGUCUCUUCAUAGCAAUGAAACCCUAACUAAGACAGGAUCCAAUGGAGAAUUCUGAAUACUAAGGUGAUUUCAGAACUACUACUCAGAAGGAAGCUGCACAGUGAUCUGCUCUAGACUGUACUAUAAAUGAGAAAGGAAAAUUCAGUAUUCAGUCUUGAAAUUGCCUAGUGGUGAGAUACUCUUCCAAGCAUCUUGUUCUUCUGCUAAAAUAUGGGUCAACUGAAUUAAAACAGAAAAUCCUAGGGGGAGGAAAACAGUAACAAUAAAAUUUGGGAAGUUGCAUGCCUGUAAUCUCAAUAUUCAGAAGGCAGAAGCAGGCAGAUCUGAAUUUGAGGGCAGCCUGGUUUAGAGAAAUACAGAGACUGAGUUUCAGAAUAGUUAGGGCUACACAGAGAAUCCCUGUCUCAAGGGAAAAAAGAGGAGUUAGGUGGUCUGGGGAAGAUUUUUUUAAAAAUAUAUAAUACUUCUGUUUGCUUUGCUCCUUGAAAUGUAAGGUGCUCUAUUCACUUGAUAUACUAUAGAAGGAACAUUUACAAAGGAAUAUUUGUUGUUUAAAGACGUAAGUUCAUCAAUAUCGAUAUCAAGUCACAGUGGUCAUGCCAUUUCACAGAAGACUGAGACUCUUAUCCCCACAGAGAGAACUCUUCUGCAGAGAAGGUGCAAGGACAGACAGAGCAUGCCAUGGUAAGCUGAUCUGUGAACAUUGUCAAAAGGCUUAUCUGGCACAGGCAUCUUUUUUCUUUCUGGAGGGAUGGUGUGAUGGCAUAAAAAUGGAAUAUAUAUUUUAAAGAACAGUUUGUGAGUACACUGCAUGAGGGUGCAGGCAGGGCAAUAGCUAAAGUACUGCCUACAGCAGAGAGAAACAUGCAGGUUUUAAUUUUGAUUUGUAAAGAUACGGUGGCUGCCUGCUUGUGAUUCCUGCACUCAGGAGGACUAGACAGGAGGAUUUAAGGCUUGGGCUACAUAGUAAAACCUCUGUCUAAAUAAAACAAUUCAAAACAAACAAACACACACACAAGGUUAUUUAUUUUUAGAGUCAGUCUUCCUUUUUGUACAUUUAUUGUUUGCUUUCAAUCCUUCCUGGCCACAGUUUCUAUUCCUUCUACCACUCCUAGUGCUUCCUCAACGCCACCCCUCUCCUUUUCCUCAGAUCCACUCCAACAAAACAAAACAAACCACCCCAGGACUCCCAGGGAUAUCCUCUGAACAUGGUGUAACAAGACACAAUACGAUUAGGCACAAACUUUUAUAUCAAGAUUGGGCGAGGCAACCCAGGAGAAAAAGGGAAAUGCAGAGACUGAAAAAAGGCAGGGAAAAGAGCCCCCCAUUCCUACAGUUAGUAGUCUCACUGCUAACAAACAUAACAUAUUCUUUAAGUUUAAAAUUUUAAAUAUUUUUUUGUUAAUUUUAUACAUGAGUACUGUAUUUACAUCGUUUUCAAUCUUUCCACUCCAAUCCCUCUCAUGCCCAUCACUCCAAGUUCAUGACUUCAUUAAUUGCCAUUCUCUCUCUCUCUCUCUCUCUCUCUCUCUCUCUCUCUCUCUCUCUCAUGCGCUACUGAGACCAUUUAUUACUGCUCCUUGUAGGUGUGUUUGGGGCUGACCACUUGUACUGGAUAACCUAUUAGGAGGUUCAUCCCUGAAGAAGGCUACUCAGCAGCCACUGCUUGCUUCAUAUCUAUAGGUGGGCCUUGUGAAACUUCCCUGGUUUGUAUUGGCACAUUUACGGUGUUGCCAUUAUGUAUGUCUUGUUUACAUGACACAUUGAUGAGAUUUCAUGGGUAUAGGAUCUCUAUCACGUUUAGAAGACACUAUCUAGCUGCAGGCAUCCUGGUACUCUGGCUCUUGUAAUCUUUCCAUCACCUUUUCUGCAAUAUCUUCUUUUGUUUUGUUUUCUUUUUGUUUGUUUGUUUGCUUUUUGAGACAUUUUCUGUGUAGUCCUGGCUAUCCUGAAACUCACUCUGUAGACCAGGCUGGCCUCAAAUUCAGAAAUCCACUUGCAUCUGUAUCCUCCAAUUGCUCAGAUUUAAAGGCCUGCACCACCAUUACCAGGUGUCUGUAAUGUCUUAUAAAUGCAUUUUUUUUUUGAGAUAGGGUCUCAUUCAUGUUUUCAAUGUUGACCAAAACUCAUUUCCUUGCAUUUGGUUUCUUACCUGUUGCACUGAGCCCAGGGAUUUGUGCAUGCUAGGCCAGUACUCUAUUGGUCAUUGCCCUAACAGGGGUUUACAAAGUGCCUGUAAUGACUUUGUCAAAGUGGCUGCCUGUGUUUAAACAUGAACAUACAGCUGGAAAAAAAAAUGAGGAGCAAGGAUGCUUAUCACUUCUACACUGCCUCUUUUGUCAUCUUAUUCUGGUUACAGAUGAUGGACAAGAGAGGGUCAACUAUACAGCUGGGUCAAAUCCUGGCAAAGUAGACCAGUGAGAGCUCAGAAACACAACCUCGGGGAGGGUGAAACAGAAUCUAGUUUAAAGCCCAAACACUACAAGAGAAUUACUGCCCCUUUCAAUCUCUUCUAUUAUUUAAAAAUGGCCACUUAAUUUCCAAAUCACUCAUACUGUUUACAGCCUUGUGGAGCUCUGUUCUGAAUAUUUCCACUAGAGUCCUCAUCUGGCCCCCAAGAACUGGUUACACUGAAAGGAUGAAGGGUAGAGGAAAGCUUCUAAUCACUAGUAUUUUAGAACUUCUAAUUUGUGCUAAUAACAGGAAUGUCAAUUUGCAAGUUUCUUAUUUGACUAAUUAAUUAGUUAGUUAAUAUGCAAACACACAUAAAAAUCCUGAAUCAAGCCUAUCACUAAGUUAUGAUUGCUUAUUUUGACACAUUAGAUAAAAUAUUUAUAAAAUUCUUUUUGAAAGAAUUCCAAAAGCUACAGUCAGGCUUUGAGUUAGGUUGUAAGGUUCAUCUUCACUGCAGACCUAGAAAACUAGGAAACAUAGCUCCAACUCUCCAUCUGGGCCUCAGCCUCUUGAUUUAGAGUAUGUAUGGGUUUUACUAAGACUUUUGAAGAAUGAUAUAGUAUAUGAACAACUUAGAAAAAUCACCAGAAAGUAUUAAUAUCAAUUAAGACUAUCAGCAGUAAAGCUCUAACCCCUGCCCCAUCUGAUAAUUUGCAGGUGAGGAGAAAAGAAAGGGAAUCUAACAUUUACUCAGGAUCUAAUAUGUGUCAAGUUCUGUAGUUAGGACAGUUUUAUGUAUUAGAUCCUUCAGCUUAAUCUCUUCACAACAGCCCCUGUGAGAUAGAACUCAAGACUAUUUACAUCAGAGGAAACAAUCUAAAGAUGAUGAAUUCAAAUUGCUCAAAGUCACAAAGCUACUGGAGCUGCAAUUAAAAGACAACUUUUUUUUUUAAACCCUAAGGUUCAUGUUCUGUCUAUUAUAACCAAGAUUACUAAAAAGUUCACAAUACCUAAUUCAGGAUUUUACUUCUGAACUCUCAGUUGGAAAAGUAGCAACUACAACAGACAAAGUGGUUAAUUUCUGUCUCUUUCCUUUACUCUAAUUCCAAAGCAUUCUAUAGUUGGCAGCCCUCUGCUUCAUCCUAGAUAACACCAUAGAUUCCUAUGGCUUUAUUUAUGCACAUUAUUUCAACUGGGCAUUAUUUGCUUCUUUUCCAACUGAAAUCUGAAGUAAAGACUAGUUGAAACUUUAUACUUAAUGGUUUAAAUUAUUUUAGUGACUUACAAGUCAGGCUGGUGAAUCAUUUAACCUUGAUAAGAGCUAGAGGGAAAAGAAAUGGAAAGGCUGGGUGUGGUGGCAGACAGGUGAUGUCCCAGCACUUCGGAGGAAGAAGCAGGAAGAUCACUCCAAGUCUGAAGGUGGUCUGGUCUACCUAGUGAGUUCUAGGACAGAGAGGGCUACAGAGAGUGAGACCCUGUCUCAAACAAAAACAACCAAUAAAACAAAAACAAAAGAAAAAGAAAAAGAAAAAGGAGAGUAGGAAAGGAGACAGGUAAGACCAGAUGCUGGUGGAGGCUCACAGAGCAGCGUUGGAGCAGCUGGAGUAAACACACAGGAAGGAAGUGUGAGGCACAGAAGCAGAGUCUAGACUCGACUGACACUGUAGACUUCUGAUUUAGCCUGGCUGGUAGGAUUAAGCCUUUGCUUUCCUGAGAUAUGAGGAAAGUUUCAGCCAAAACUCAACAGAGAUGACAAGUAAUUUUAUUACCAGCCAGGAUGUGGCCAAAAAUACCUCAAUUAUUUAGUCUUUUUGAAUAUUUCAAGAAAGCAUAAAAAAGCAGGAACAUUUUCUUCUUAAGGCUUCUUAUUUAUGGUUCAAAUCUAACUAACUUUGAUGCUGAGCUAGUGUGUUUCUUGGAAGUUUAGUAAUUUGUAAAGUUUAGCAACCCACGUAUAUAUACACCCACGUAUAUAUAAUGUAACGUCUUACAUUACCACCAUUAUCACCUGACCAUCACACACAGCCGGGGCCCAGUAGAGCAAAGGGAGCCUAGUAAACAGAGGAAGUGCUCUUCCCUGUAGAACAGGGCCUAGAAAACCAAGGCCACAAAUCAGGUUUUACUGGACUAUAGCUUUACCCAUUUGUCUUACUGCUUUCCAGCUACAGUGACAGAGUUGUAGUGAGAGACAGUAAAGUAGACUACAAAGCCAUACGUAGCUAUUUUAAAAAAAAGUUUGUUAACUCCCACUGUAAGAUGUGAUGGGGUGAUAUUUCCAUAUGAAAUUUAUGCUUAUUAAGCCUUAUUUUAGAAAAAAUACCGGUAACUUUGAUCAUAAAACCUUAUAUUAAAUAUACUCCUAGUACUCUGGAUGUUUAUCAUGCACCUUUUUUCAUGUAUUUUGCCUGUAAUCCUUAUAACACCUUUGAGAGUUCCUGUUUUACAGAUGAGAAGAUUGACAGUGUACCCUUCCCUCCUUUCCUCUAGAGCGAGUUCAGCCUGUCCUUGAGUGCGUGGUCUUUUCAUGUCGACUCCAAAUGCAGGGACUGUAGUGUGCACCACUGUGCACCUCCUCAGUCAUACCUGAACUCACGCCACUUGCUGCUCCAAGGAUCUUUUCUCUAGUUUCAAGUUGUCUUCCUAGCCAAUCCUUCUGUUCUAAUAAGAAACACUGUAUGAUUGACUAACCAAAAGAGCAUUUUAAAGGGAAUAAUUCAGGAGAGAAACUGCAACAUUACUAAAAAUCCUCCCAGUGACUAGACUCAAUGUGAUGAAAACGGCCUGUGUUACAGACUGAAUCAGAGUAUCUCUGGACACAGUUUCCAAAUAGCUUGUUUUCUGUAUUAUAGUCUUUAAAUCUAAAUUUGAGUAUAGUGUUGUUUACUUAUAACCCCACAAUUCUGGAGGCAGAGGAUGGAAGAUAAGGAAUUCAAGGUCAUCCUUUACUACAAAGAAUUUUUGACGCAGAUCUGUGUUACAGAAAACUGUCUCAAAAGGGGGGAAACCCCACAACAAACAACCCUAAAUGACAACUGCAAGGAAGAAUGCUAGGUGAUCAUAAGACAUUAGGAAAUGCAAAUCAAACCCACAAUGAAGCCAGGUACAAUGGUACAGAUCUGCAAUUCCAGCUUGUGGGAGGUGAAGGCAGGAAGAUCAGAAGUUCAAGGAUAGCCUGAACUGCAAAGAGAAAUCCAAGUCAGCCCAACCCACAGGAGACUCUCAAACCAGACCAGACCUCAUGUCACACCACACAGUGAAGUGCUAUUCUGCAUUCACUUUUAGAUGAAAUCGAAGGCAAAUGACUUUUUUUUUUUGGUUCUAGGGAUUAUAUACAACACUGAGCACUAUUUUCAGACUGGUGUAAGGAAACUUGAAUCCUCACACACUACUGGUGGGGCUGUGAAAUGGCGUGGACACUUUUGAAAACAAACUGACAAUUUUUCAAAAUGUUAAACCUAGUUACUAUAUGACCUAGAUAUCCAAUCAAUUCUUGUUUUUAUUUUUUUGAGAUUUGGUCUGAGUAUGUUACCUAGCCUCACCCAAAUUUAUGCCUUACACCAUUGUGCUCAGCACAAUUCUAUCUCUAAAGUUGAGAACCACUGCUCUAAGUUAUCAACUGUGUGUGUGUGUAAUUUGAAUACUCAGGAGCAGGAAAAUUAUGAAUUCUUGUAUAGUGUGGUUGUAGAGUAAGUUCCAGACCAGCCAGUCAGGCCUACAGAAUUAGAGGCAGUAAGAUAAAGAGCUAGCUAGCUAGAUAUAGACUGUCUAUACAAAUCUGUAUUUUAAUAUUAUAAAUGUGCUUGUGUUACUAAGUUGUAGAUGUAUUAAAUGCUAUGUUAAAGUAGCUAAUUUUCUUAGCAGUAGUAGUCACAGUAUUCAUUCAUUUCAAAAGCAGAGCAUCUCAGUUAUUUCAAUGAAUGUCUUAAUAAAAUGAUGUGUAUCCACAUAGUGGAAUACUAUUUUAUAAUAAAAUAAAUAAGGUACUGAUCUAUUCUAUAAUAUUAAAAACCAUGAAAACAUUAUGUUAAGUGAAAGAAGCCAGGCACAAGAGAAUACAUUAUAUAUUUCCAUUUCUAUGAAAUAUUUUGAAAAGUCAAGUUUAUGGGACAGAAUGUAGGGAAAUGAACUAAUAGGAAUGAGGCUCAUUUUUUAGUGUGAAUAAAUACAUUAAUGGCUGUGAUAAUGGCAAAACUCCAAGGACACUAACACACACACACACACACACACACACACACACACACACACACACACUCUCCUAACACUGGUCAAUUUCAUGUGGCAUAUAAAGUUAUACCUCAAAAAGGUGUCAAAACAAGAGAAUUGUGAAGGUUCUGUAGCCAGCUCAAUAUCCAGAAUUACAGAUUUUUAUUCUUUUCUAUUUUAAAGGUCAUUAAUGACAUAAAUACACCUUUUCUCAAACAAGGAAGGGGAAUUUAGAACUGGAAUAAGUAUCAAUUGGACUGCCGAGGAGAAGUUCUGAGUGGAAGUGGAUAUGGCCACGUCUACCUUUGACUUUGUUUGACCCUCAGCUGAUAGAAACCUUGGACUUCAGUCUGGGAGAAGCUAAAGCCUCUCACCAGCCUCUGCACUGAAAGGAUCCUGGCAGCUGCAGCACCAGGAAUACCAGAGUCUAGUCCUCAUUUUUUAGCUUGCAGACAUGUCAUCACUCUAUGCUGCACACCAGAGUGUUUACAGUCUAAAUCACAUACAGAGCCACUCUUAUCUCAGACAACCAUGCUGUCUGCAUCAACAUAGGAUAAAACUGUGCUCAUGAAGGAAGUAUGCAGUUUAAAUGUAGGCUGAAGUCACACUUGGUUAAAUAAAACUUCAUAUUCUUUCUCCAUCACUGGGUUGUUUAUUUUACAUUUACCAAUGCAAGCAUCAGUUUCAUCUUUGCAUCUUUUAUCCCAUGAAGAUUUUAUGUUAGAAGACUGAUGGUUAUUUCCUAUCUAACCAAAUGACAAUUAUCUUAGUGUCUACGGAUGUGGUAGACAUUUAUUGUCUUCUUGAACCUAGAUGCUUGUCUGCUGUAUUAGUUGUAUUCUACUUAUAGAAAGUAAGGUAACUAAGGUAAUUUUUGUUAGACAUGAUAGUUAUGAUUCAAAUAAAGGAUUUGUCAAAGUGGGUUUUAUUUCUG